rnacentral:rRNA from 1 species
GACGAACGCUGGCGGCGUGCUUAACACAUGCAAGUCGAACGGAGUGGCGAAAGGGUGAGUAACACGUGGGUGACCUUCCCUGCACUUCGGGAUAAGCCUGGGAAACUGGGUCUAAUACCGGAUAGUUUGGGAUGCGCCCUCGGCCUAUCAGCUUGUUGGUGGGGUAAUGGCCUCCCAAGGCGGCGACAGGUAGCCGGCCUGAGAGGGUGGACGGCCACAUUGUGACUGAGACACGGCCCAGACUCCUACGGGGGGCAGCAGUGGGGAAUAUUGCACAAUGGGCGGAAGCCUGAGGCAGCGACGCCGCGUGGGGGAUGACUGCCUUCGGGUUGUAAACUCCUUUCACCAGCGACGCGGUAGAUGGAGAAGAAGCACCGGCUAACUACGUGCCAGCAGCCGCGGUAAUAC